CCUACGGGAGGCAGCAGUGGGGAAUAUUGGGCAAUGGGCGCAAGCCUGACCCAGCAACGCCGCGUGAAGGAAGAAGGCUUUCGGGUUGUAAACUUCUUUUGUCAGGGACGAAGCAAGUGACGGUACCUGACGAAUAAGCCACGGCUAACUACGUGCCAGCAGCCGCGGUAAUACGUAGGUGGCAAGCGUUAUCCGGAUUUACUGGGUGUAAAGGGCGUGUAGGCGGGGAAGCAAGUCAGAUGUGAAAACCACGGGCUCAACCUGUGGCCUGCAUUUGAAACUGUUUUUCUUGAGUGCUGGGGAGGCAAUCGGAAUUCGGGGUGUAGCGGUGAAAUGCGUAGAUAUACGGAGGAACACCAGUGGCGAAGGCGGAUUGCUGGACAGUAACUGACGCUGAGGCGCGAAAGCGUGGGGAGCAAACAGGAUUAGAUACCCCUGUAGUC
rnacentral:rRNA from 1 species